GAGAGGGAGAGAGAGAGAACCAGACAGAAGCAGAGGGUAAAAGAUGCAUUUUCCUCACUUUUUUUCCAAAUGGAGAGCUACUGGUCCUUUCCUUUGUGGAAGACCUUUUUCAGAAAAUCCCCCUCUAGCCGGCAAGCUGCCUUUUCCUUCACUGUUUUCCUUUCUGUUUCAGAGUAAAAGAUUCUUCUCUCCUCUCUAAAGAAGACUAGGGAUUGAUGCCUAGGUCUCUCCCUUGGCUUCCAAGAGUAGCAAGGUGAUCAAAGAGGAAGGUGACUGGAAAAAGGAGUAGAAGGUGUAUAUUUUUAAAAAGAGUAAAAGAUAAUUGUAUGUAAUGUAGAUUCAUUUGGGAACUGCAGAACAUUGGGACUUCUAAGCAAAUCCGUUUCUCUAAAUAGAGGAAAAUCUUAGUGGUAUAGACAGCUAAAGCAAAGAACAGAACUAGGAAGUAAGCUGAUGAGUUCAUGCCCCAUAGACAGUGCUGGGUGUGGAAGUCCAUCUAGGACUAGGUCUUUUCUGUAGCCAGGUAAUCGCUUCUCUUCAAGUUGACUCCUUGGUCAUGGCCUUGGCCAUCCAUCUGUUGACUGUAUUUUUAGGUUGCUGAACUUUCUUUUUCUCCCUGAAAGUUGUUUGUGAGGGCAGGAACUAGAUCCAGUGAUUGAAAGCCCCCUUACAAAAUCUCUCCUAAAGCAAAUUUCUGGAGCAUGCUUUCUGCCCACCCUUAUCUUUUGCAAUAGCACCACUCUGUGGUUGAAACACUGAACAGAAACAAAAUGGAAAUGUUGGAAUGAAUUAUGCCCUUACCUUGUGAGAAAUAGUAUUGAUCUACUGGAUGUUUCAGUUAAAUGGAUUGUGUGUUGCAGGGGCUGCUCAGCAUAUGACAAGGGAGGGGGUCUUGUGCAGUAGGGGCAUGCAGUUAAUUCGUUAUGACACAGUGACCCAGGAAAUGAGAGAACUGGGCCGAAUGGCCUCCAAGGACCCUUCCCUCUGUGACCGCAUGUGGCAAGGCAAGCUUGGUUCUUUUCCCCAGCACCAUACAGCUAGCCUUGAAUAUUUGUCCUCUCCCAUUGUGUGUGGGUUUUUUUCCUGCCUUAGAUUGCUAAACUAUACUCCACACCUUAGCCUAUCCUAAAGUAUCUGCAAGUUGCCUCUUCUGCUGCUGGAGGGCACUGUGGAGAGGUUUGCAGAAUGCUUGCACCUACUUUCUCUUGCUCCACCCUGUCCAUCCAUCCCCACCCCCACUCACUCAGACAGCUGCUUGAGCUCCUGGAGCCCGAAAGUCUAUGUUUCUGAAACAAUUAAAGUGCCUGCAAAAGGUGUUUGCAUAGGGAUUGCGAAUUUAAGGGCCCAGUAAGGCUGUGUGUUACCUUGGCUCCUGGCACUCAAAAGAUUCCUGGCUGCCCACCCAUUACUACACACUUGUAACUGUAGCAUUAUUAGCCAACAGUCAUGUGAGCCCAUGGUGCCAAUUAGCGACUCCGGCCAAAUAUCCUGAAGAGUGGUGGGAGCCAUUAUUCUUUUUUUUUUCAAAAUGGGUACAGAUGUCUGUAGAAACUGAGUGGCUUUAUGUUUAUUCAGCGAACCCAGGUCUUCCCUAAAAUGUCUAUCAUCUUGAGGAAGUGCAGCUUUGAUGCUAUCAACCUUGAGCUCUCAACAGAGUAGGGAGACAGAUCUAAUUCUAUCAGCCUCUGUGUCCCCCCACCCCCUACAUUUAAUAGUUAAGGAUGCUAAGGCUCUGGCUUCUCCAUAAAUUUCCCCAGGGAAAUAAACGAACAAACAAGCAAACAAAAAACCAAACAUAGUAACAGAUCAGGAAGUAGAACUCAUUAAAAGAGUGGGUCUUGGAAUUGUACAAACCUAGAUUCCAUGCUCCCUUCUUCACUGGUAGCUGUGUGUCUUUGGUAGGUUCCUGAACUUCUCAGAAACUGUCUGUAAUUGGCAGAAACAAUGCCAACCUCAUAGGAGUAUUAUGGGGGCCACAUGAACUAAUUGAUUUAAAAUGCUGGGCACAGUCCAGCACAGUGAAGGCACCAACUCCCAAUCUGAUAGCCUUUCUACCGGAAACACCGCCAACCACACGGGUGGGGGAUCUUAGCCUUUAGAAAAAGCUCCGGAAUGUCCUCUUUGUUACUUGUAAGCUGUCUUGAAACAUUUCAUUAAUGUAGCUUUAUGGUUAUAUAUUUUUCCCUUGGACAAAGACAGAAAGAACAUAGCAGAAUGAAGUAGUGGACAUAUUUGGAAUUUAGUUUCCUAAUGCGGGCCUCAGAGAGCAUGAAAGACGUAGUUGAAGGAUUUCAGAAUCUCAUCUUGUUUGUUCUUUGUCUCUAAGGCAGAACUGCCUCAUCAUGUAAAAGGAAAUUCCACCAUGUCCUUCAACUUGUAACAGAUUGCCUAGUAUAUUAUUGGUUUGUUGUUAUUGCUAAUUAUGUUCUAGGGCUUAGAUUGAACAAUAUGAUGAAUUGCAUUGAAUAACAAUGGAUCAACUCAUUUUGUGAAAUAGCAUACAUAUUCAUAAUUAUGUUUCAAGAAAUUACCCAUAAUGAUAGAGGGAAGGUAUGUAUUCCUACCACACAGGUGGAUCUAGAAAUCAUAAUAAAGUCUCCUAUUUCACCAGUCAUGACAUGAAUUCCUAACCACCCUAUAAAUUAACUUUAUGCUGCACCAAACUCCACUCAUAUAAAAAAUGACAUUAAGGUUUCCUAGGUAACUAAUGCACUUCCAAAGGGAAUAGGCCUCAGGAGACAAAGAGGGCAGGGAAAAGGGUGGGGGGGUGGGGAAGUGAAGAAAAAGAAAAAAAAGAACAUUAGAUUAGACUCAUGUGACAUAAACAAAAUAUUUCAUGGGGAAGGACUCAUAAAGUUUUAUUGCCUAGGUUUAACAUAGAUAUGGCACAGCUAUUAAUUCCAUCUUUGGAUAAUAAAAUACUCAAUAGGCUAGCCGUCUCAUUAGGGAUGCCAGCAUUUCAUAUUGGAGGUUCAGAUUAACAAAUGGUGAGAGAAAUCAGUCUUUUUCAUUUAUCUGCUAAGCUGUGUCCACUUACCAGCCAGCUGUUUCUUGAGCCCUCUAUGGUUGUAUUUAGACAUAACCAAAUUUUUGAUAUGAACGUGAAAAAUAGGACUGAUUUGGAUGUUUCGAACUAUGCAGAUGCUUUUGAUCUUAUAGACUGGGAGCAGGUUGAAGGGACAGGCUCCAGGUCAGGUUUCCCACCACUCCUACUCCCACCUGCUGGUCUUUUUACUGUAGCUUCCUUCUUCUGGGGAAGGGCCUGGGGGCAGAAGAACAUUUGAAUGCCUAGGAGGAAAUGGAAGAUGGUAGGUGGAGCAUAGAUUUUAAUUUAUGCUGGAAGAAUUUUGAGCAAUUCUGAAAGAUGGUGAAACCCAGAUAAUGUCUAUGAGCUAGAGCCUGGAAGAAUUAGAACAUGAACUAGCUUUGUUGCAGCUUUGUGAGCUGGGGGACUUCACUAACCUUUCCAGUGUCUUGGUUUUACCAUGUGUAAAAAGAACUUAACCUCAUUUUCUUGUGUAAUUGGGAAUAUAGAUAAGAAAACAAAGAAAUACAUUAAUUUGAAUAAAGUUGAGGGUUUUGUAUUACCUGCUUUCCACCUACAGUAGCCUCCGAGUGAUGUCUGUGGGUGGAGACUCCCAACUGGUUACAAGCCACAUCCAGAAUUCAAGGCUGGGGGAACCUGGAAAAGGUCACUUCAUCCAUCCUCCUGACCUUGAGACCAGUCCUCACUCUCCACUGGCAAGUUAGGGUAAGCAGGGAGUCCAUGGUUCAGAUGAGAAUGGAAUCAUAAUUGGCAGCAGAUUCGAAGUAUGAAUCACUGGUCCACACUCCAUAUCUCAAAUUGGAAAACUGGCGACAAUGUCGAAUCAAUGAAUGAAUGACUUAUGUUCUUUCAGAUGGGAAAGUGCCUGAGAUUCCUCUGAUCAAAUCCCCCAUUUUACAGAGGAAGUUAUUUAGAGGCUCAUCAGUGAGAGUGUGGAAAUCAAACUCUUGAUUCCCAGGAUGCUGUUCUUAGUCUCCUCUCUAUACAACUCUCAGGAAAUAAACAUAUCUCAUGCUUUUCUUCUGGAAACGUUUUCCAUUUUCCUCUAAUUCGUUCCUCACCUUUUCUUCUUUCCUUUAUUUCAUAACUUGCUUCAACUUAGUUUAAUAUUUCAUUUCCUUUAUUUUGUUACCAUUGUGCACCACUGACAAAACGAGAGAAAAUUAACUUCACAUGCAGAAGGAAAGGUUGCAGUAGGAACAGGAAAAGACUUUUAAUCACAGGAGAGGUCAAAGGACAACUUUAAUAGUGGAAUAGAUACUUUCCCAUUGGUUAGUCCUUUCUGAAGAGAGGACUAAUUAGAUGAAUUCUAUUUUUCAAUAAUGUUAUAGAUAACCUUUUCAGACUUUUCAGAGUGAAUCUUUUUUUCCCAAAAUUAUUCUUCUUGCUUUUUAAAGUCUUCUUUCCUUUAUAUUAAAGAUGGCAAAGGAUCUAUUUUGCUGUGGGAUUAUUUCUUUGGUAGAUUAAACAAUUUUUUUCUUGCAAUCAAGGUAUCCAUAAAACCUAGAGUCAAAUUAUUUACUCUUAUAUAUCUCCUAAUUCCUUCCUUGUAAAAGAGCUGACUGCAAUAUCUGUCCUUGGCAUUAUGGAUCUCUGGAGCCUAGCAGCAUCCAAUAAAUAAGAGCUGAAGAAGACCACAUAUCUACAGGGUUAUGAUGUAAAUGAAAAUGUGACUAUUCUAGAAGGCUUCAAGGGGUAGAACUAGGAUUGAUGAGUGGAAUUUACAAGGGUGCAUAUUUCAAGUCAGGAUAAGGGUGAUGAUUCUUACACAGAGAAUUUCCAAAAAUGGAGUCAAUUGCUUCAUAGCUAAUGAGUUUUUUUCUGUCACUGGACAAGCUCAGGCUGGGACCACCUUCAAACAAUGUUGUGGAGGGGCUUCAGAUUUGGAUAGGUGGUUGGACAGUUAAGAUCCCUUCCAAACUUGAACUAUCACAUCUCAGUGAUCUGGUCACUUUAGCAAGUAUGUAUUUUGCCAAAACAUGAUGUAUAUAUUAACCUUAUAGUUGAUAUAUUAAGAUUUUUUUAGUGGUACAUAAGUAAACAUUUUAUUUUUUAUUUUUUGACUUUUUAAAAAAUUUAAAUCCAAGUUAGUUAAUAUAUAGGUUAAUAAUGGUUUCAAGAGUAGAAUUUAGUGAUUUAUCACUUACAUAUAACACUCAGUGCUCAUCCCCACAAGUACCCACCUCAAUGCCCAUCACACAUUUAGCCCAUCCCCCGACUCAACACCCCUCCAGCAACCCUCAGUUUGUUCUCUGUAUUCAAGAGUCUCUUAUGGUUUGCCUCCCUCUCUGUUUUUAUCUUAUUUUUCCUUCAAUAAACAUUUUAAAUUAUAAUAGUUACAUUUAAUUUUUUUAAUGUAUCAAUUCAAAAUUUCCUUUGAAAAUACAUUUACCAGGGACUUUCACUUCCAUUUAUAGCAGACCAAAUUCUAAUAUACCAAUCUUUCCACCAAAAAUACCUAGAAAAGCUGGAAAAAAUUUUUUAAAAGCCAUCUGAAGGUCUUAUUUAUGAUAUGGUUGUGUAAACAGUUCUACAGAUAAUUAUAUACUGGGGACAAAAGAAUGGACAAAAGCUGGCAGAUUCUCAAGGGGAGUUGACAUUUCAAGAAGAGAACAGGAUGGAGGGAGUUUUCUGUGUUUUAUAGUUUCUAGCUAGAGGGCAAUUCCCAACUGGUACACAUGAGGUAGCAAAAGCUUAAAGGGAGAAAUAAACAAUUCCCAGUGAUAGCUUGAGAUUUUAAUACUUUUGUUUAUGCAUUUAGUAGAACUUACACUAAUCUAAAUACCAAUAAAGGCAAAGAUGAUACUAUCAAUCACCUGGACUUAAUUAUUAUUUGUAGAACACUACACCCAAUAAAUACAGAAUAAUACACAUUAUUUUUCUUUUUUAGAGAGUGAGCAAGCACGUGAACGAGGGAGAGGGGCAGAGGGAGAGAGAGAGAAUCUUAAUCAGGCUCCACACUCAACAUGGGAGCCCAACACAGGGCUCUAUCCCACAACCCUGGGGUCAUGACCUGAGCCAAAAUCAAGAGUCAGGUGCUCAAUGGACUGAGCCACCCAGGCGUCCCCAGAAUACACAUUCUUAUCAAGUACAUGGUUUGUUUACAAAGAAAGUCUAUAUGCUGGAUAAUAAAACAAUCCUCAUUAGAUUUAAAGAACAAAACCGCACAGAGUAUAUUCUCUAACCACAGUGGAGUAAAACUCAAAAUCAAUAAUAAGAUACAUAGAAACCCUUAAGUAAUUAGAAAUUAAGCAACACUUAGCUAUUCCAUAGGUCAAAGAAGAAAUCAUAUGGGAAAUUAGAGUAUAUUCUGAUAUCUAUGGUAAAAAAAUACAACAUAUCAAACUCUGUGGGAUAUGGAUAAAACAGUGUUUAGAGGGAAAGUGACACACUUAAAUGUUAUAUUAGAAAGAAAAAAGGUCUAAAAAUCAAUGACCAAAUGUUUCAUCUUAGAAAUUUAGAAAGAGAAAGGGAAAGUAAGCCAAAAGCAAAUAGGAAGAAGGAAAUCGUAUAGGUAAGAGAAAAAAAGAAAUGAGAUAGAAAUUAAUAGAGCUAAAAUUUGCCCUUUGAAAAGAUCAACAAAAUUGGUUAUCUCCUAGCUAGACUGGAAAUGAAAGAGAAGGAAAUAACCAAUAUCAAGAAUGAAAAGGGAUUAUCACUCAGAUCCUACUGAUAUUAAAUAGAAAACAAGAGACUAUCAUGAACAAUUUCAUGCAAUGAUUUUGACAAUAUAGAUGAAACGGACAAAAUAUUUGAGCAGGGUAAAAUAGAAUGUCUAAAUAGCCUUUUAUCUAUUAGAAAAAUUGAAUUAGUUAUCAUAAAUCUUUCCACCAAUGAAACAAUAGAGAAAGAUGGUUUCACUGACAAAUUCCAUAAAAAUUUAUGGAAGGAGUAGUAUCAGAUUUAAAACACUUCACAAUUUGUUAUAUGUGUAAUGUUAAUACAAAGUUUGAUAGGGACUUUGUUUGUUUGUUUGUUUGUUUGUUUAUUAUAAGAUCAAUUAAAUAUAUUUAUUUAUUUAUUUUUAAAUAUGAAAUUUAUUGUCAAAUUGGUUUCCAUACAACACCCAGUGCUCAUCCCAACAGGUGCCCUUCUCAAUACCCAUCACCCACCCUCCCCUUC